rnacentral:rRNA from 1 species
UACGUAGGAGGCGAGCGUUUGUCCGGAGUACUGGCGUAAAGCGCACGCAGGCUGGUCAGAUCAGUCUGGAAGUGACAGUCGUCGGCCUUAACCGACGAAGUGUUCUGGAAACUGUCUGACUUGAGGGCUUCAGAGGGACACGGAAUUCCGGGUGGAGUGGUGAAAUAGCGUAGAUAUCCGGAGGAACACCAAUGGCGAAGGCAGUGUCCUGGGAAGUACC